rnacentral:rRNA from 1 species
UACAGAGGGUGCAAGCGUUAAUCGGAAUUACUGGGCGUAAAGCGUGCGCAGGCGGUUAUGUAAGACAGGGGUGAAAUCCCCGGGCUUAACCUGGGAACUGCAUUUGUGACUGCAUAGCUAGAGUACGGUAGAGGGGGAUGGAAUUCCGCGUGUAGCAGUGAAAUGCGUAGAUAUGCGGAGGAACACCGAUGGCGAAGGCAAUCCCCUGGACCUGUACUGACGCUCAUGCACGAAAGCGUGGGGAGCAAACAGG